rnacentral:rRNA from 1 species
AGAGUUUGAUCCUGGCUCAGGACGAACGCUGGCGGCGUGCCUAACACAUGCAAGUCGAGCGGGGAGAAGAAUUCGUUUUUCUCUUUAGCGGCGGACGGGUGAGUAACACGUGGGUAACCUGCCUCAAAGAGGGGGAUAGCCUUCCGAAAGGAAGAUUAAUACCGCAUAAUAUCAGGAAGCUGCAUGGCAUUCUGAUCAAAGGAGCAAUCCGCUUUGAGAUGGACCCGCGGCGCAUUAGCUAGUUGGUGAGGUAACGGCCCACCAAGGCGACGAUGCGUAGCCGACCUGAGAGGGUGAUCGGCCACAUUGGAACUGAGACACGGUCCAGACUCCUACGGGAGGCAGCAGUGGGGAAUAUUGCACAAUGGGGGAAACCCUGAUGCAGCAACGCCGCGUGAGUGAUGAAGGCCUUCGGGUCGUAAAGCUCUUUGAUCAGGGACGAUAAUGACGGUACCUGAAAAACAAGCCACGGCUAACUACGUGCCAGCAGCCGCGGUAAUACGUAGGUGGCGAGCGUUGUCCGGAUUUACUGGGCGUAAAGAAUGCGUAGGUGGAUAUUUAAGUGGGAUGUGAAAUCCCCGGGCUCAACCCGGGAACUGCAUACCAAACUGGAUAUCUGGAGUGCAGGAGAGGAAAGCGGAAUUCCUAGUGUAGCGGUGAAAUGCGUAGAUAUUAGGAGGAACACCAGUGGCGAAGGCGGCUUUCUGGACUGUAACUGACACUGAGGCAUGAAAGCGUGGGGAGCAAACAGGAUUAGAUACCCUGGUAGUCCACGCCGUAAACUAUGGGUACUAGGUGUAGGGGGUAUCGACUCCCCCUGUGCCGCCGUUAACACAAUAAGUACCCCGCCUGGGGAGUACGGUCGCAAGACUAAAACUCAAAGGAAUUGAC